rnacentral:rRNA from 1 species
GCUAAACGCGAAGAACCUUACCAGGCCUUGACAUGCAGAGAACUUUCCAGAGAUGGAUUGGUGCCUUCGGGAACUCUGACACAGGUGCUGCAUGGCUGUCGUCAGCUCGUGUCGUGAGAUGUUGGGUUAAGUCCCGCAACGAGCGCAACCCUUAUUGACAGUUGCCAAUAUUAAGUUAGGAACUCUGUCAAGACUGCCGUUGAUAAAACGGAGGAAGGUGGGGACGAUGUCAAGUCAUCAUGGCCUUUAUGUUCAGGGCUACACACGUGCUACAAUGGAUGGUACAAAACGUCGCAAUCCUGCAAAGGGGGAGCUAAUCGCAAAAACCAUUCUCAGUUCGGAUCGGAGUCUGCAACUCGACUCCCGUGAAGUUGGAAUCGCUAGUAAUCGCAAAUCAGCAUGUUGCGGUGAAUACGUUCCCGGGUCUUGUACACACCG